rnacentral:rRNA from 1 species
AUUAGUGAACGCCCUCACGGGCUUAUAACUAUUCCAAACCUCUGUGAACUGUGCCCUUCGGGGCUAACAAACAUGGUGUAAUGAACGUCAUAUAUCAUAACAAAACAAAACUUUCAACAACGGAUCUCUUGGCUCUCGCAUCGAUGAAGAACGCAGCGAAAUGCGAUAAGUAAUGUGAAUUGCAGAAUUCAGUGAAUCAUCGAAUCUUUGAACGCACCUUGCGCCCUCUGGUAUUCCGGAGGGCAUGCCUGUUUGAGUGUCAUGUAGACUCAAUCCCUCGGGUUUCCGAGGAGAUUGGACUUGGGUGUUGCCGCUCUGCCGGCUCGCCUUAAAAGACUUAGCGGGAUAGCACCGUAGUCGGCGUAAUAAGUUUCGUCGGUGAAGGUUGUGAUGACUGCUUACAAUCGCCCUCGGGCAAUUUUUGACUCUGACCUCAAAUCAGGUAGGACUACCCGCUGAACUUAAGCAUAUCAAUAAGCGGAGGAAAAGAAACUAACAAGGAUUCCCCUAGUAGCGGCGAGCGAAGCGGGAAGAGCUCAAAUUUGAAAGCUGGCGUCCUUCGGGCGUCCGCAUUGUAAUCUAUAGAGGCGUUUUCUGUGCCCAAU